rnacentral:rRNA from 1 species
GAUGAACGCUGGCGGCGUGCCUAAUACAUGCAAGUCGAGCGGUAAGGUCCCUUCGGGGAUACACGAGCGGCGGACGGCUGAGUAACACGUAGGAACGUACCCCAAACUGAGGGAUAAGCACCAGAAAUGGUGUCUAAUACCGCAUGUGGCCUUCGGGCUAAAGCUCCGGCGGUUUGGGAACGGCCUGCGCAUGAUUAGCUUGUUGGUGAGGUAAAAGCUCACCAAGGCGAUGAUCAUUAGCUGGUCUGAGAGGAUGACCAGCCAGACUGGAACUGAGAACGGUCCAGACUCCUACGGGUGGCAG